rnacentral:rRNA from 1 species
UACGUAGGGACCGAGCGUUGUCCGGAUUCAUUGGGCGUAAAGAGCUCGUAGGCGGCUGUUCAAGUCGAACGUGAAAACUCGGAGCUCAACUCCGAGCCUGCGUUCGAUACUGGACGGCUAGAGUCUGGUAGGGGGAUCUGGAAUUCCUGGUGUAGCGGUGGAAUGCGCAGAUAUCAGGAAGAACACCCGUGGCGAAGGCGGCUCUCUGGGACGGUACUGACGCUGAGACGCGAAAGCGUGGGGAGCGAACAGG